rnacentral:rRNA from 1 species
GAUGAACGCUGGCGGCGUGCUUAACACAUGCAAGUCGAACGAAGCAUUUAAGACAGAUUUUUUCGGAAUGAAGUUUUUUAUGACUGAGUGGCGGACGGGUGAGUAACGCGUGGGUAACCUGCCUCACACAGGGGGAUAGCAGUUGGAAACGACUGGUAAUACCGCAUAAGCGCACAGCUUCGCAUGAAGCGGUGUGAAAAACUCCGGUGGUGUGAGAUGGACCCGCGUCUGAUUAGGUAGUUGGUGAGGUAACGGCCCACCAAGCCGACGAUCAGUAGCCGACCUGAGAGGGUGACCGGCCACAUUGGGACUGAGACACGGCCCAGACUCCUACGGGAGGCAGCAGUGGGGAAUAUUGCACAAUGGAGGAAACUCUGAUGCAGCGACGCCGCGUGAGUGAAGAAGUAUUUCGGUAUGUAAAGCUCUAUCAGCAGGGAAGACAGUGACGGUACCUGACUAAGAAGCUCCGGCUAAAUACGUGC